rnacentral:pre_miRNA from 1 species
AGUAGAUUUGCCAGGUCAUAUGAGCAGUGUGGGAGCAACCUUACAAUUAAUGGCCAAAGUGUUUUCCAAAGUGGCUGUAUCAUUUUACAUUCUUAUUAGCAAU